rnacentral:rRNA from 1 species
UGCGCAGGUGGGCUUGUAAGUCAGUGGUGAAAUACUGCCGCUUAACGGUAGAACUGCCAUUGAUACUGCGGGUCUUGAGUAUGGUUGAGGUAGGCGGAAUGUGUUGUGUAGCGGUGAAAUGCAUAGAUAUGACACAGAACGCCGAUUGCGAAGGCAGCUUACUAAGCCAUUACUGACACUGAGGCACGAAAGCGUGGGGAGCGAACAGGAUUAGAUACCCUGGUAGUCC